GCCUGGGUGGCUCAGUCGGUUAAGCAUCCGACUUCGACUCAGGUCAUGAUCUCGCGGUCCGUGGGUUCAAGCCCCGCGUCAGGCU
rnacentral:tRNA from 1 species